UCAAAGGUGGCAACUUUAGGG
rnacentral:siRNA from 1 species